rnacentral:misc_RNA from 1 species
UUUCCGUAGGUGAACCUGCGGAAGGAUCAUUAUCACAUAACCAACGUUCGAGGACCCUCGGUGCCCUGAACGGCCCUUCAAGCCCGAGUGCCCCAACACCCCUCCAUCAUCACCCUUUAUCCACUAUCACGCGGGUCCUCUUUCCGCAUGUUAGCAGGGGGCAUUACGGCUUCACACAAACUUCGUAUGUUGUGUAGAAUGUCUUUCUUGUUUUUUCGUCACCGCAAUCGUAACAACAUCCAACAACGGUUCCCUUGGCUCCCGCCUCGAUGACGAACG